UAUUUGUAUAUUCCUUCAGGAUCUGUGGUUGAGGUCAAUCUUCUUGUUCAACUUGGCUAUUUGUCUGGUUUAUUAUCUGGUAAAUUUGGAGUUUGUUGAACUCUGUUUAAAUUUAGUUUUGGUACUGAAGUUUGAGGUUAAGCCUAAGCCAAGUGUAGGCUGAUAUAAGGAUCCUGUUUUCAGGAUUAGUUUAGGCAUAUAGGUUAUAGGAAGCCCUUCUGGCAUUUGUUGUUGAUUAUAGUUUUUAGGAAGCCCUUUUGGCGUUUGUUAGUGUUAGGUAAAGUUUUGGGAAGCCCUUCUGGCUCUUGGCAACUUUGAGAAUUCUUUUUAUUUUAUUGUUUAUUAUCAACCACUGCAUAAAUUUUAAUUUUAUUAAACGUUUGACUUGA